GAAUGGGGUAGAGGUGCAAAAGUCAAGAGUACUUUUAAGGAGAGUAGGAAAACUUGAAGAAUUAAAAGGAAAGGGGCAAUUGCCGAAGUGGUAAGUCUAUUCCAAACUUACUGCUGGGUCUGUAUUGAAUAGGUACAGAACUGCCACUAUCAGUGGAGCGCUAUCUCACUC
rnacentral:ncRNA from 2 species